CUAUUUACUGCAAGAAAGUAACAUGUACCUACAUUUAGAGUGCCGAGUUUGCAUAGUGUAUAAUAGUUUUACUUUUACUAAUAAUGUAUGGUUAUUGUGUCAAUUAUCGAUUUCGUUUUCCCACUGCUCCAACUACAUCAAAGUAUCAAACAUAUUAGUUCCCUGUCAUAUAACUAUAAGAAUUAAUUUCGCACAUGCACA
rnacentral:lncRNA from 1 species